AGUUAACUUCCUCUUUAAAAAAUGGAGUUAUCUUCCUUUGUCUAGCAUAGCUGUUAAGGAUAUAAAGUACUAAAUGGUGGCCCCAUUGCUGGCAAUGCUAUUUUUAGCAAUUAUCUCCUUAAAAGGCGCUUUUAAUAAACUAAUUAUGGAAAAACUGCUGUUGUCUAAUUGAAACUCGAUAUCUAUUCGCGAUUUUACCGCACUCAAAUAUAUGGUCCAUGGCUUUUCUUGGUGAAUUUUGGGAUUUUUCACGAUACCUGACGAUUUCGCAGAAAAAUUUCCCUAAUUUUGAGCAACAUAAAAAAAAUACUUCCGGCCCUUCAUACUAGACAUUUAAGGACAAAUUUGUGCUUGCAUGAAACUUCAUUCAUAAUGCUUUCCAGAAGAAAAAUAUAUAAAAGAUAUAACAACCAAUCACAGAGAGCCAUCUAUUUUUAUCUCUAUGUCAUGUUCCCUUCAUAAAAUGGCUGCGCCCAUGUAAUUGUAUUUGGUACAUUGUAACCUUAACAACAACCAUGCAAUAUUUUACUUUCCACCG
rnacentral:lncRNA from 1 species